GAUGAACGCUGGCGGCGUGCCUAAUACAUGCAAGUCGAGCGAACGGACGAGAAGCUUGCUUCUCUGAUGUUAGCGGCGGACGGGUGAGUAACACGUGGAUAACCUACCUAUAAGACUGGGAUAACUUCGGGAAACCGGAGCUAAUACCGGAUAAUAUUUUGAACCGCAUGGUUCAAAAGUGAAAGACGGUCUUGCUGUCACUUAUAGGUGGAUCCGCGCUGCAUUAGCUAGUUGGUAAGGUAACGGCUUACCAAGGCAACGAUGCAUAGCCGACCUGAGAGGGGUAUCGGCCACACUGGAACUGAGCAACGGUCCAGACUCCUACGGGAGGCAGCAGUAGGGAAUCUUCCGCAAUGGGCGAAAGCCUGACGGAGCAACGCCGCGUGAGUGAUGAAGGUCUUCGGAUCGUAAAACUCUGUUAUUAGGGAAGAACAUAUGUGUAAGUAACUGUGCACAUCUUGACGGUACCUAAUCAGAAAGCCACGGCUAACUACGUG
rnacentral:rRNA from 1 species